rnacentral:tRNA from 1 species
GGUCCUAUGGUCUAGUGGUUCCCGGUCGCCGUUCUCGGCACCGGCCGCAGAUGACGCCGGCCUCACACGCUGGAAAUCGAGGGUCCGAUCCCCUCUAGGACCA